GUGGGGAAUCUUCCACAAUGGACGAAAGUCUGAUGGAGCAACGCCGCGUGAGUGAAGAAGGGUUUCGGCUCGUAAAGCUCUGUUGUCGGGGACGAAUGUGCAGUAUUUGAAUAAAGUACUGCAAUGACGGUACCUGACGAGGAAGCCACGGCUAACUACGUGCCAGCAGCCGCGGUAAUACGUUGGUGGCAAGCGUUGUCCGGAAUUAUUGGGCGUAAAGGGAGCGCAGGCGGGAAGGUAAGUCGGUCUUAAAAGUGCGGGGCUCAACCCCGUGAUGGGAUCGAAACUAUCUUUCUUGAGUGCAGGAGAGGAAAGUGGAAUUCCUAGUGUAGCGGUGAAAUGCGUAGAUAUUAGGAGGAACACCAGUGGCGAAGGCGACUUUCUGGACUGUAACUGACGCUGAGGCUCGAAAGCCAGGGGAGCGAACGGGAUUAGAUACCCCUGUAGUCC
rnacentral:rRNA from 1 species